rnacentral:rRNA from 1 species
AGCAGCCGCGGUAAUUCCAGCUCCAAUAGCGUAUAUUAAAGUUGUUGCAGUUAAAAAGCUCGUAGUUGAAUUUCGGGACUAGUAUGUCGGUCGUACUUUGUACGUACUAGCAUUAUUGGUUUCUCCCUUCUGACGAACCACGUAUGUCAUUAAUUUGGUGUCGCGGGAAAUCAGGACUGUUACUUUGAAAAAAUUAGAGUGUUUAAAGCAAGCUCGCGCUUGAAUACAUUAGCAUGGAAUAAUGAAUAGGACGUUUGAUUCUAUUUUGUUGGUUUCUAGGAUCGACGUAAUGAUUAAUAGGGAUAGUUGGGGGCAUUAGUAUUCAAUUGUCAGAGGUGAAAUUCUUGGAUUUAUUGAAGACUAACUACUGCGAAAGCAUUUGCCAAGGAUGUUUUUCAUUAAAUCAAGAACGAAAGUUAGGGGAUCGAAGACGAUCAGAUACCGUCGUAGUCUUAA